UACGUAGGUGGCGAGCGUUAUCCGGAAUGAUUGGGCGUAAAGGGUGCGUAGGCGGCCUGCUAAGUCUGGAGUGAAAGGUACCGGCUCAACCGGUACAGGCUCUGGAAACUGGCGGGCUAGAGAGCAGGAGAGGGCGGUGGAACUCCAUGUGUAGCGGUAAAAUGCGUAGAUAUUAGGAGGAACACCAGUGGCGAAGGCGGCUUACUGGACUGUAACUGACGUUGAGGCUCGAAAGCGUGGGGAGCAAACAGG
rnacentral:rRNA from 1 species